rnacentral:snoRNA from 2 species
CCCAGCAGUGAAAGUGCACACUGCCUGUGCCCUGGUCAUUGAUAGUGCAGGGAGAGGAAUCGCUGAAAGCCUUUCCCCGUGUUUGGAGGGUCCAAAAA